rnacentral:rRNA from 1 species
UAUUAUUUUAGCGGCGGACGGGUGAGUAACGUGUGGGCAACCUACCUUUUACUGUGGAAUAAUCGUUGGAAACGACGACUAAUACCGCAUACGGUUCUUGGAAGGCAUCUUCUAAGAAAGAAAGGAGUAAUUCGGUAAAAGAUGGGCCCGCAUCUGAUUAGCUAGUUGGUGAGAUAAUAGCCCACCAAGGCAACGAUCAGUAGCCGACCUGAGAGGGUGACCGGCCACAUUGGGACUGAGACACGGCCCAAACUCCUACGGGAGGCAGCAG